rnacentral:rRNA from 1 species
CAAGCGGUGGAGCAUGUGGCUUAAUUCGAUGCAACGCGAAGAACCUUACCUGGGCUUGACAUAUAACUGCACGCCCGUGAAAGCGGGGUUCCUUCGAGGGUGUUAUACAGGUGCUGCAUGGCUGUCGUCAGCUCGUGCCGUGAGGUGUUGGGUUAAGUCCCGCAACGAGCGCAACCCUUGUGACUAGUUGCCACUCCCAUUUCGGUGGGAAGCACUCUAGUCAGACUGCCCGUGAUAAGCGGGAGGAAGUGGGGAUGACGUCAAGUCCGUAUGGCCUUUAUGCCCAGGGCUGCACACGUGCUACAAUGGAUGGUACAGAAGGACGCAAGACCGCGAGGUGGAGCAAAUCCCCAAAACCAUCCACAGUUCAGAUUGGAGUCUGCAACUCGACUCCAUGAAGCUGGAAUCGCUAGUAAAGGCGUAUCAGCUACGACGCCUUGAAUACGUUCCCGGGCCUU